rnacentral:lncRNA from 1 species
AUUAAACAUACCAGAGCAACAAAUACUGGUAUCUUUUAUAUAAUCAAUCUACUCUUCUCCUAUCGUCCUCUUCCACUUCCUCUUCCCUAUUUCCAUUGCCUUUCUUACAUUUCUCCUGCCACUCCCUCCCAGGUACUCACCGCUACCCUGCGUUCCUGCAUAGACUUCCAUCAGAGAGAACAUGUUAGGAAAGUUAAAUUGCAGUAAGCACAUCACAGCAAUGACGAGGACAGGUACUUUUCUGGGAAACACUGGAAGACAGCUGGAGAGGAUUCUGCUGCUGUGAAAGCACCUAAAGCCUCCUUGACUCAGCCUCACAUCCUAUCUUCAAGAAAACAUCAUAUGGUUAUUAUAUAAACCUCUUACGGGAUUUCUAAGGUUAAUUUCAAUAUAUAAAUGGCUACUCAACAGAAUCAAGGGCUGCGUGGUUGUGUUUGCCAAGGUUCUUCUCGUCAAAAUCUGCACUGGAAGUAAGAUUCUUCCUUGACAAACCAUCUUUUGAACAUCUGGUGAAAAAAAAAAUGGAGAAAUAAUAUGAGAGAAGAAAACGUGAAUAAGACAUUAAAUGAAACUGCAUGAGAGGUUUUAUUCAAGGUUCACAAUAAAAUAUAUACCAGAGCAGUAGAAGAGCUGUUGUAUUUAAAGACAUUCGAAGGGGAAUAAAAUGUGAAGCAUUUGGAAGAUCUGUCCUAGCUUACAUGUGUAUUUUCAAAGUUGCCUUUAGGAAAUGUGUGGUAAUAAACUGAGUUUAUUGAAAUUAGCAUUCAGGUGCUGAAUUGUGCUGCAUAAAAGACUAACACAGGUUCUUCCAUAGAAAAUGGUAUUUUAAUUGCUAUAUGUGGUAAUAAUAUACUUUGAUGAUGAAAAGU